rnacentral:rRNA from 1 species
UACAGAGGUGGCAAGCGUUGUUCGGAAUUACUGGGCGUAAAGGGCGUGUAGGCGGCCUUCUAAGUCGGACGUGACAGCCCCAGGCUCAACCUGGGAACUGCGUCCGAUACUGGAAGGCUUGGAUUCGGGAGAGGGAUGUGGAAUUCCAGGUGUAGCGGUGAAAUGCGUAGAUAUCUGGAGGAACACCGGUGGCGAAGGCGGAAUCCUGGAACGUCAUCGACGCUGAGGCGCGAAAGCUAGGGGAGCACACGGG